rnacentral:lncRNA from 1 species
AAAGCAUUCAAAGCACUGUGUUCUGAGAUACCUGGAUAUUGUGAUAAGGCACAAAGAAUGAAAGAGUAAGAGAAAGAAAAGGAAUGAGGAUAUCUCUGCUGAACUAUGAAGGGAUACUUGCAAUUAUGAAUGUCUCAGUUCUUCCAAUGAGAAAAGCCUAACUUAGGGGUAAAAUGAAAAUGAAGUGAAAUAGGGGAGAACUGAAAAAGGAGCUUCACCUGCACAUGACCAGCACCUGAAGAGGAGGGAUGGACAAGCACAGUCGUGCAUUUGGAAAGAGAAAUUCAAGGAAAUAUUAAACAAAAGAAGACAUGAAGUGGAAAAGUCAUUACAUUGUGGGGAAAAAUGACACAGAACAAUCAAAAUAGAGAGAUCACCUAAUCAUCUUACAGAGAAAGGAGCAUUUAAUCAUCCUGGCAAAAUGAUCAGGUUAUUUCCAGUGAAAUUACAUUAGUCCAUGUGGGGCAGGUCAGUUUAAUCUCUCAUCUUUCGUUCCUUUACUAGAAUGCCUACUUCAUAGGAUGUGAGGAAGGCAUAUAGCAGCUCCUGUAUUUAAUAAAUACUAGCUUCUCUUCUGAU